rnacentral:lncRNA from 1 species
AUGAAACCAGCUUUUCUGCGAUGGGGAAGGAGGGAAACCUCAAAGUACAACCAAAGAGCAGCAGCAGGGUAUGAAUAUCAGGGUGACAGGAUGAGGCCCGUUACAGUGAUCAGGACCAGAGAUGAAAACCUGUUGGAUGAGAAGUAUCAGCUUUGUGGACGGACAAAAAUAAUCUUACCAUGAAACUUGCAGGAUUUACCAGGAACUUUGCAGGAAAUGCACAGACAGGAAAAGAGAAGGAGCCUUCGAG